UGUAAAACCGGAAAGCAAGUUCCAUUGAAUCGCACCGAAUUGUCUCCACAUCCGUCGGAUGGAAAGUCUACUCCUGUCACUGGCAUCGUGAUUUGUUACCCGCAAAACGGAAAACUUGUAAACUAACAUCGGUUGGUAUCCGGGAUAGUUGCACAUUUUGGCUUUUCAGAUAUCCAUCCGCGUUUGUCGUCGCACUGUAGAACGACAGCUGGACUCACAUUUCCAAACAUCUCGUCUGUGUUUCACACUGUUGUUUCUUGACCGUAUGAAUGAGCUAGUUCAUGACGUGGUGUCCGAAAUGAAACUAAACGUAUUCUUGGUGUCGCACCUUUUUACGUUAAAUGUUUUUCCAAAAUGCGGUUUCUCUGAGCUACCGUAAGAACCAAGUGGAGCGUAGUUUUGCUGUGGAGACGGUUGGGUGCGGUAAUUGGAGGUAUUGUCGAGUUUAUUGCCUGCGCCACUGGAGUUGCAACUGUUUGGAUUUUGUCUACGGUAGUGAUAUCUCGCAACAACUUUAACUGCCGCGUUGGUUAAAGCCGUUGAUGAUGAUUGCACGAAGAAUUCUGAUUGAUGGGAGAUGGCCCUACCUAGGAGGAACUAAAUCGUAAAUCCCGCACGGCUGCCUCCGUCAUUUUUCAUGACCCAGCGAGUUUCGUGUCUUUUUUUAAAGAAUGAUGCCCUUUUCGUUUACUCGAAGAGCUUUUUGUCGCUUCUUUUGAUUUUAUGCGACUUGACCUGCUGGAUGCGGGGAACUUCUUUGCUACAUGGACUUUCGUGGCCCCAUUUCGGAAUAUCAAGUAGGCUGUCGUGUCAACAGACAAACAUGGUUUUGCAUCACAAAACUAUUUAGCCUGGAGUAAAAUGUAACACAAUCUUUCGAAAGAGAUCAGCCGCCUCCGUUAAUUAUUAAUUGGCAUUGUUUUUUCUUUUCAUUAUUCAGGUACAUAGGGCUAACCUUUAAUUAUUCACAAGACCAUCUACGACGACAAGGUCAUCAAAAGGUUUGCAGAUUUUCCGUUGGCGACAUAAUACUUCCAAAUCCAAUGGCUGUGGAAUAUGUGUGGAAUGUCCUAGUAAGAUACGAUACAAAAUAAAAGGCAUAUUCGUAAACACACAGCAUCGACAUCUAGUGAUCAGGAGACAUACUACACAAACGUAAAUCCUGAGGCGGAAAAACAAAAAAGACGAAAAAAGAAAAAAUAUACAAACAAAAAUAAAAUAAAUCCCCCAGACCCCCACCUUUAUCAAGUUUAUGCAAUAUUGCGUAUUAAGAAAAUUCGAACUCUCCUUCACUUUAAAAUAAAAGUAUAACAGUGCAACACUGCAAAACUGCCGAGCUAUUUUAGUGUGAACACUGAACAGUGAACAGUGAGAACCAGUUGGUACUUCCAACAGGCUCCCGAAAUAAGCUUUCGUCGUCGUGACGUUUGAACGUUUCAAGAAAGCUGAUUGAUCAUAUCAGAAUGAUUUAACUGUCGAGUGAAGGAUUUGCGUUCGAGACAAUUCGCAAACCGUAAAUGACUAAAUGGAUCAAUCGAGUUUCGCCAUUUUGAUUCUGUGUCUGAGUGUCUCAACGAUUCCACUUGUAUGGUCUGCUGCACGCCCAAAGUCUCAGACAGCAGCAAAAUGCAAGUGCUCCGUGAUUUUAUCGUAUCCAAAAUAUGAAAAUUAUUUGUUAGCUGCCUAGACUGUCAUGUGAUUGGAAAAAUGACGACACGCCUGGCAUC